CUGCUUGCGGCCCUGUGUCCUCAUGGCCGUGUGACCACGGUGCGAUAAGCAGCUUUUUGCUGACUGGCCAAGGAGCAACCUGCUUGAUUAGUAGUCGACCAACUGCUCAGUUUCUGGGUUUUGCAAACAGUGCUAGUUUUGUAGAAAGCAGUGAGUACUGCUUUAUUUUCCCUCCGCUACUAGCUCUGGAUCAUCAGCUUCAAGCUUGCAUUUUUAGAGGUUUUUCUGAUGGCUGGUGAAAUUGUACUGAAUUCAUUAGUACUGUUAACUGUCAAAGGAACAGAACAGUCACUUUGAUUUAUUGCUGAAGAUUGAAACAACUGACCAGAUACAGUGGUCAAAAACACUUAAAAUACAGCUUGAGAGGUUCAGUCAUCCUCAGGCAGCCAGGCUCCUCCUGUCAGCACACGGGGCUGUAAGAGGCGCUGCAGUAACUCGAUCUGAUGUGGUCCCUGGCUUCUCAAGAUGUGGACAAGCAUGUAGUCAUCUCAGGUCGGCAGCCGGUGACUCCUCGGCCGUGCUCGACACUGCGCUGUCUGCUGUAGGAUGAACAGAAAGGCCACACACGUUACAUGGGAAGCUAAUUUAACAGGACAUGCAGAGAAGGUGGGGAUUGAGAAUUUUGAGCUCCUGAAGGUCUUAGGAACUGGAGCUUACGGAAAGGUGUUUCUCGUGCGUAAAGUCAGUGGCCACGACGCUGGGAAGCUGUACGCCAUGAAGGUUCUGAGGAAGGCCUCCAUAGUGCAGAAGGCCAAGAGCGCGGAGCACACGCGGACGGAGCGGCAGGUGCUGGAGCACGUCCGGCAGUCGCCCUUCCUGGUGACGCUGCACUACGCCUUCCAGACGGAGGCCAAGCUCCACCUCAUCCUGGAUUAUAUAAAUGGUGGAGAGCUUUUUACUCAUCUUUCUCAGAGAGAGCGCUUCACAGAGCGCGAGGUGCAGAUCUAUGCUGGAGAGAUCGUGCUUGCCCUCGGACACCUCCACAAGUUGGGGAUUAUAUACCGUGACAUUAAGCUUGAGAAUAUUCUGCUUGAUUCUGAUGGCCACGUGAUGCUGACGGAUUUUGGUCUGAGUAAGGAGUUUGUGGCUGACGAAGCUGAAAGAGCAUAUUCCUUUUGUGGAACCAUUGAAUACAUGGCGCCAGAUAUUGUCAGAGGGGGAGACUCAGGACAUGACAAGGCAGUUGACUGGUGGAGUUUAGGUGUUCUAAUGUAUGAAUUACUAACUGGAGCAUCUCCGUUCACUGUUGAUGGCGAGAAGAACUCCCAAGCUGAGAUAUCGAGGAGAAUAUUAAAGAGCGAGCCUCCAUAUCCCCAGGAAAUGAGUGCUGUGGCCAAAGACCUGAUCCAGCGUCUCCUGAUGAAAGAUCCCAAGAAAAGACUGGGCUGGGGCCCGCGCGACGCAGAUGAGAUCAGAGAGCACCCCUUCUUCCAGAAAAUAAACUGGGAUGAUUUAGCUGCCAAGAAAGUGCCCGCACCUUUUAAGCCAGUCGUCCGAGAUGAAUUAGAUGUGAGCAACUUUGCAGAAGAAUUCACGGAAAUGGACCCCACCUACUCUCCUGCAGCUGUGCCCCAGAGCUCCGAGAGGCUGUUCCAGGGCUAUUCCUUCGUCGCCCCUUCCAUCCUCUUCAAGCGUAACGCGGCCGUCGUGGACCCGCUCCAGUUCCACGUGGGGGUGGACCGCCCGGGGGCCACGCACGUCGCGAGGAGCGCGAUGCUGAAGGACUCUCCAUUCUACCAACACUACGACCUAGAUCUGAAGGACACACCACUGGGAGAAGGGAGUUUCUCAAUCUGUCGGAAGUGCGUACACAGGAAAAGCAACCAGGCAUUCGCAGUCAAAAUAAUCAGCAGAAGGAUGGAAGCCAGCACUCAGAAAGAGGUGACAGCGCUGCGACUCUGCGAAGGACACCCCAAUAUCGUGAGAUUGCACGAGGUUUUCCAUGACCAGGUAGCCUGCUUUUUCUGUGUGUGCUCUGCGCCCAAAUUCGCAGGCGAGCUGUUUGAACGCAUUAAGAGAAAGAAACAUUUCAGUGAGACAGAAGCCAGCUGCAUCAUGCGGAAGCUGGUUUCAGCUGUAAGCCACAUGCAUGACGUCGGAGUGGUCCACAGAGAUCUGAAACCCGAGAAUUUACUGUUCACUGAUGAAAAUGACAAUUUGGAAAUUAAAGUCAUUGAUUUCGGGUUUCCCCCUGAUAAUCAGCCUCUGAAGACGCCCUGUUUCACUCUUCACUACGCUGCCCCAGAGCUCUUGAAUCACAGCGGCUAUGAUGAGUCCUGCGACCUCUGGAGCUUGGGUGUCAUUUUGUAUACGAUGCUGUCAGGGCAAGUUCCGUUUCAGUCUCAUGAUAAAAGCCUGACGUGCACCAGCGCAGUGGAGAUCGUGAAGAAAAUUAAAAAGGGAGACUUCUCCUUCGAAGGAGAAGCCUGGAAGAACGUAUCCCAAGAGGCUAAAGACUUGAUCCAAGGACUUCUCACAGUCGAUCCAAACAAAAGGCUUAAAAUGCCUGACUUGAGAUACAGUGAAUGGCUUCAAGAUGGCAGUCAGCUGUCCUCGAAUCCUCUGAUGACUCCGGACAUUCUGGGCUCUUCAGGAGCUGCGGUGCACACGUGUGUGAAAGCCACCUUCCACGCCUUCAACAAAUACAAGAGAGAGGGGUUCUGCCUUCAGAAUGUGGAUAAGGCCCCUCUGGCAAAGAGGCGGAGGAUGAAGAAGACCAGCACCAGCACGGAGACGCGCAGCAGCUCCAGCGAGAGCUCGCGCUCCUCGUCUUCCCACUCCCACGGCAAGAGCACGCCCACGAGGGCGCUGCAGCCCGGCAACCCCGCCGAGGGCGGCGCCCCUGAGAGCCUCUUCCAGUUCUCGGACUGAGAGCCCGGGGGGCCUGGGAACCGAGACGGCUCCGCUGUGCCUUCAGUGCCCUCGGCCUACCUGGAGGCCAGGCUGUGUCUGAGAAGCUGCAUCCCGCUGAUCCCGUUGGCAUCUGCCCUGCAGGGAAUUUUUCCAGGAAAACCCAGCUGGUUAUCCUCAUCCAGAAGCACCGGGCAGAGAAUGGGACUGUGAGCAGAGCACACGGGAUGCGGUUGGUGACCUGGAUGAUGCCCGCACGACUGUUCCUGAGGGCGCAGGUGUCUGUCUGUCUGAGUAGGGGCCGGUGAGGUUUGAGCCGCUGACAGUAAGUCACAGGAUCGUCAGAGGUCCGCCAGCAAGAGUCCCUAGGACUGUGAUGAUAGCUGUUGCUUCACUUUGUGGGUAUUGCGGGUUUUUAAGAGAGAUGCACCCUUUGAACAGUGAUUUAUCAGCAAAAAAAAAGAAAAGGUCUAACUGUUUUCCAAAAGAUUCUGUCAAGAAUUUUAUGUGUGGUGUAUACUUAUUUCUUGAGAGAGGAUUUUAACUUAUUGUUUUUGUUUUAUGGUUACCUAUGAUGAUAACCUACUGUUAUUAAUCUUUUUCUAAAAACUAAAAUAAAAGGCAUACGAAGGCCCCA
ensembl:lncRNA